ACUGUAUACAGUAUUCACUAUUAGCAGAGUAUACUGUAUACAGUAUUCACUAUUAGCAGAGUGUACUGUAUACAGUAUUCACUAUUAGCAGAGUGUACUGUAUACAGUAUUCACUAUUAGCAGAGUAUACUGUAUACAGUAUUCACUAUUAGCAGAGUAUACUGUAUACAGUAUUCACUAUUAGCAGAGUGUACUGUAUACAGUAUUCACUAUUAGCAGAGUGUACUGUAUACAGUAUUCACUAUUAGCAGAGUAUACUGUAUACAGUAUUCACUAUUAGCAGAGUAUACUGUAUACAGUAUUCACUAACAGAGUGGUGUAUACAGUAUUCACUAUCAGCAGAGUGGUGUAAACAGUAUUCACUAACAGAGUGGUGUAUACAGUAUUCACUAACAGAGUGGUGUAUACAGUAUUCACUAACAGAGUGGUGUAUACAGUAUUCACUAACAGAGUGGUGUAUACAGUAUUCACUAACAGAGUGGUGUAUACAGUAUUCACUAACAGAGUGGUGUAAACAGUAUUCACUAACCGAGUGGUGUAUACAGUAUUCACUAUUAACAGAGUAU
rnacentral:lncRNA from 13 species